GGCUCCCAACCCUCCUCUUAGCAAUUUGCACAUGUGGUCUAAAGCUUCCCGCUCUUGUCGACUUUUCUCUGCCUUAGAUAUCCCAUCAGAAGGGGUUAUGUCUCCCACAAUGGCUUCUGCAAUGUCAUGUACAAUAUGGCCAUUUUUAUGCACUUGGCUCUAUCAAUGCCGGGAAUAUCAGGAGCAAUAAGAGCCAUCAAACCCAUUCUGUACAUAUGAUCAGAUAUUGAUUCGGGAUUGAUUAUAUCUCUCUUCAC
rnacentral:misc_RNA from 1 species